CUAUAAUGCAGUCGAGCGAGCUGAAUUCAAAGAUCCCUUCGGGGUGAUUUGUUGGACGCUAGCGGCGGAUGGGUGAGUAACACGUGGGCAAUCUGCCCUAAAGACUGGGAUACCACUUGGAAACAGGUGCUAAUACCGGAUAACAACAUGAAUCGCAUGAUUCAAGUUUGAAAGGCGGCGCAAGCUGUCACUUUAGGAUGAGCCCGCGGCGCAUUAGCUAGUUGGUGGGGUAAAGGCCUACCAAGGCAAUGAUGCGUAGCCGAGUUGAGAGACUGAUCGGCCACAUUGGGACUGAGACACGGCCCAAACUCCUACGGGAGGCAGCAGUAGGGAAUCUUCCACAAUGGACGCAAGUCUGAUGGAGCAACGCCGCGUGAGUGAAGAAGGUUUUCGGAUCGUAAAGCUCUGUUGUUGGUGAAGAAGGAUAGAGGCAGUAACUGGUCUUUAUUUGACGGUAAUCAACCAGAAAGUCACGGCUAACUACGUGCCAGCAGCCGCGGUAAUACGUAGGUGGCAAGCGUUGUCCGGAUUUAUUGGGCGUAAAGCGAGCGCAGGCGGAAUGAUAAGUCUGAUGUGAAAGCCCACGGCUCAACCGUGGAACUGCAUCGGAAACUGUCAUUCUUGAGUGCAGAAGAGGAGAGUGGAACUCCAUGUGUAGCGGUGGAAUGCGUAGAUAUAUGGAAGAACACCAGUGGCGAAGGCGGCUCUCUGGUCUGCAACUGACGCUGAGGCUCGAAAGCAUGGGUAGCGAACAGGAUUAGAUACCCUGGUAGUCCAUGCCGUAAACGAUGAGCGCUAGGUGUUGGGGACUUUCCGGUCCUCAGUGCCGCAGCAAACGCAUUAAGCGCUCCGCCUGGGGAGUACGACCGCAAGGUUGAAACUCAAAGGAAUUGACGGGGGCCCGCACAAGCGGUGGAGCAUGUGGUUUAAUUCGAAGCAACGCGAAGAACCUUACCAGGUCUUGACAUCCUGCGCUACACCUAGAGAUAGGUGGUUCCCUUCGGGGACGCAAAAACAGGUGGUGCAUGGCUGUCGUCAGCUCGUGUCGUGAGAUGUUGGGUUAAGUCCCGCAACGAGCGCAACCCUUGUCUUUAGUUGCCAUCAUUAAGUUGGGCACUCUAGAGAGACUGCCGGUGACAAACCGGAAGGAAGGUGGGGGAUGACCGUCAAGUCAUCAUGCCCCCUAAUGACCUGGGGCUA
rnacentral:rRNA from 1 species